AGAGUUUGAUCAUGGCUCAGGAUGAACGCUGGCGGCGUGCUUAACACAUGCAAGUCGAACGAACCUUCGGGUUAGUGGCGGACGGGUGAGUAACGCGUGAGAAUCUGCCCUCAGGAGGGGGAUAACAGCUGGAAACGGCUGCUAAUACCCCAUAUGCCGCGAGGUGAAAUGAAUUUCGCCUGAGGAUGAGCUUGCGUCUGAUUAGCUUGUUGGUAAGGUAAAAGCUUACCAAGGCGACGAUCAGUAUCUGGUUUGAGAGGACGAUCAGACACACUGGAACUGAGACACGGUCCAGACUCCUACGGGAGGCAGCAGUGGGGAAUUUUCCGCAAUGGGCGAAAGCCUGACGGAGCAAUACCGCGUGAGGGAAGACUGCCUAUGGGUUGUAAACCUCUUUUUUCAGGGAGGAACAAAAUGACGUGUACCUGAAGA
rnacentral:rRNA from 1 species